GUGCUUGCUUCAGCAGCACAUAUACUAAAAUUGAAACGAUACAGAGAAGAUUUGCAUGACCCCUGCGCAAGGAUGACACGCAAAUUUGUGAAGCGUUCCAUAUUUUC
ensembl:snRNA U6 U6 spliceosomal RNA